rnacentral:rRNA from 1 species
UUGGUCAUUUAGAGGAAGUAAAAGUCGUAACAAGGUCUCCGUAGGUGAACCUGCGGAGGGAUCAUUACCGAGUGGAUCGCCUCUGGGCGUGACCUCCAACCCCAUUGUUUUCCGACCCUGUUGCCUCGGGGGCGACCCGGCCUUUGGCUCCGGGGCCCCCGAUGGAAACCCAUCAAACACUGCAUCCAUGCGUCUGAGUAAAUUUUAAAUCAAUUUAAAACUUUCAACAACGGAUCUCUUGGUUCUGGCAUCGAUGAAGAACGCAG